GACGAACGCUGGCGGCGUGCCUAAUACAUGCAAGUCGAACAGUGGCGAACGGGGGAGUAACACGUGCGUAAACUGCCCUCCACCUUGGGAUAACUCCGAGAAAUCGGGGCUAAUACUGGAUAGUGGGGGAUGGGCGCGGGGCCUAUCAGUUUGUUGGUGAGGUAGUGGUUACCAAGGCGUGACGGGUAGCCGGCCUGGGAGGGCGACCGGCCACACUGGGACUGAGAGACGGCCCAGACUCCUACGGGAGGCAGUAGUGGGGAAUAUUGCACAAUGGGCGAAAGCCUGAUGCAGCGACGCCGCGUGGGGGAUGACGGCCUUCGGGUUGUAAACCUCUUUCAGCAAGGAAGCGGUACUUGCAGAAGAAGCGCCGGCUAACUACGUGCCAGCCGCCGCGGUAAUAC
rnacentral:rRNA from 1 species